rnacentral:rRNA from 1 species
AACGAACGCUGGCGGCAUGCCUAACACAUGCAAGUCGAACGAGACCUUCGGGUCUAGUGGCGCACGGGUGCGUAACGCGGGGGAACCUGCCCUUAGGUUCGGAAUAACUCCCCGAAAGGGGUGCGAAUACCGGAUAAUGUCUUCGGACCAAAGAUUUAUCGCCUUUGGAUGGGCCCGCGUUGGAUUAGCUAGUUGGUAGGGUAAAAGCCUACCAAGGCGACGAUCCAUAGCUGGUCUGAGAGGAUGAUCAGCCACACUGGGACUGAGACACGGCCCAGACUCCUACGGGAGGCAGCAGUGGGGAAUAUUGGACAAUGGGCGAAAGCCUGAUCCAGCAAUGCCGCGUGAGUGAUGAAGGCCUUAGGGUUGUAAAGCUCUUUUACCCUGGAUGAUAAUGACAGUACCGGGAGAAUAAGCUCCGGCUAACUCCGUG